rnacentral:rRNA from 1 species
GUGAGUACGCGUGGGAACGUGCCCGGAGGUACGGAACAACCGCUGGAAACGGCGGCUAAUACCGUAUAUCCCCUGAGGGGGAAAGAUUCAUUGCCUCCGGAUCGGCCCGCGCUGGAUUAGGUAGUUGGUGCGGUAACGGCGCACCAAGCCGACGAUCCAUAGCUGGUUCGAGAGGACGAUCAGCCACACUGGGACUGAGACACGGCCCAGACUCCUGCGGGAGGCAGCAGUGGGGAAUUUUGGACAAUGGGGGCAACCCCGAUCCAGCCAUGCCGCGUGAGUGAAGAAGGCCUUAGGGUCGUAAAGCUCUUUCACCGGUGAAGAUAAUGACGGUAGCCGGAUAAGAAGCCCCGGCCAACUCCGUGCCAGCAGCCGCGGUAAUACGAAGGGGGCUAGCGUUGUUCGGAAUCACUGGGCGUAAAGCGCGCGUAGGCGGGUUAUUUAGUCGGGGGUGAAAUCCCGGGGCUCAACCCCGGAACCGCCUCCGAUACUGGUAGCCUAGAGGACUGGAGAGGCGGGUGGAAUUCCGAGUGUAGAGGUGGAAUUCGUAGAUAUUCGGAGGAACACCAGUGGCGAAGGCGGCCCGCUGGCCAGUCCCUGACGCUGAGGCGCGAAAGCGCGGGGAGCAAACAGGAUUAGAUACCCUGGUAGUCCGCGCCGUAAACGAUGAAUGCCAGCCGUUGGGGGGCAUGCCCUUCGG